rnacentral:rRNA from 1 species
UGCCAGCAGCCGCGGUAAUACGAAGGGACCUAGCGUAGUUCGGAAUUACUGGGCUUAAAGAGUUCGUAGGUGGUUGAAAAAGUUAGUGGUGAAAUCCCAGAGCUUAACUCUGAAACUGCCAUUAAAACUUUUCAGCUAGAGUAUGAUAGAGGAAAGCAGAAUUUCUAGUGUAGAGGUGAAAUUCGUAGAUAUUAGGAAGAAUACCAAUUUCGAAGGCAGCUUUCUGGAUCAUUACUGACACUGAGGAACUAACGCAUGGGUCGAGAAGAGGCUUCGAUA